GACGAACGCUGGCGGCGUGCUUAACACAUGCAAGUCGAGCGGUAAGGCCCUUUCGGGGUUACACGAGCGGCGAACGGGUGAGUAACACGUGGGUGACCUGCCCUCAGCUCUGGGAUAAGCCUGGGAAACCGGGUCUAAUACCGGAUAUGACUCCAUGACGCAUGUUGUGGGGUGGAAAGCCUUGUGCGGCUGAGGAUGGGCCCGCGGCCUAUCAGCUUGUUGGUGGGGUGANGGCCUACCAAGGCGACGACGGGUAGCCGGCCUGAGAGGGCGACCGGCCACACUGGGACUGAGACACGGCCCGGACUCCUACGGGAGGCAGCAGUGGGGAAUCUUGCGCAAUGGGCGAAAGCCUGACGCAGCGACGCCGCGUGAGGGAUGACGGCCUGGUGUAA
rnacentral:rRNA from 1 species